GUGAGGAAUAUUGGUCAAUGGGCGAGAGCCUGAACCAGCCAAGUCGCGUGAAGGAAGACGGCCCUACGGGUUGUAAACUUCUUUUGCAAUGGAAUAAAAAGAGUUACGUGUAAUUCAUUGUAUGUACAUUGCGAAUAAGGAUCGGCUAACUCCGUGCCAGCAGCCGCGGUAAUACGGAGGAUCCGAGCGUUAUCCGGAUUUAGUGGGUUUAAAGGGUGCGUAGGCGGAUUGGAAAGUCAGCGGUGAAAGUUUGCAGCUUAACUGUAAAAUUGCCAUUGAAACUGUCAGUCUUGAGUGCAAAUGAGGUAGGCGGAAUGUGUUGUGUAGCGGUGAAAUGCAUAGAUAUAACACAGAACACCAAUUGCGAAGGCAGCUUACUGGGAUGCAACUGACGCUGAGGCACGAAAGCGUGGGGAUCAAACAGGAUUAGAAACCCCGGUAGUCC
rnacentral:rRNA from 1 species